rnacentral:tRNA from 1 species
GCCCUGCUGGCCCAAUGGAUAUUAUCCAUUGGAUAAGGCGCCACCCUCCUAAGGUGGAGAUUCCGAGUUCGAUCCUCGGGUAGGGUA